AUGUCUGCCAGGAGCAGCGAGUGAGACCGUCAGUGAGGUUACACACAAAUUCCAGACAGAGUACAAAGUCUUUAUUCUUGAAACAGUGACAUGACAUGGCCACUGCCUUCUCUGAGCUGCCUACCCAGUUAAUCCUGUGCAGAUCCCCGUAAAGCCUAGCACUGCUCUAUUGCAGUACCUCCAAAGUGGUGCUUCAAAGGAUUACAGGAUCAAACUUGGAGUCCUGUUGUUUUAUUUCCCCCACCCUGAUUUCUGACCUCUCAAACUGGAUAACAGGACUGGCUUGUCAUCCCCCUUUUUUUUCAUGUUGUCUUUUCUUCCUCAUUGCAUUUUCAGGUGAGCUAAACCUACCUGCACUGAAGAUAUUAAAUGAGACGUCUUCCACAGGAACUAAAGCUCCCAUGGUGCCUUGGACACUGAUUGCUGAAUUUAACACUGUACUCGAGAGAAACCAGCGGGAGUCAAUUGAGGUUGAAAGGUGAAGCAGUUUAAACUAGCAGAUUCAUAUAAUAUAUUGGAAGGGAUAACUAUGGCUGGAGGUGGAUUUUGGUUGAUCUCCUUGAACACAUGGCUAUGUUUGAUUAUCCUCAUAAGAUGUAAGUUGUCAAAUUUGUCUGUUUUCACAAAAAAAACUAUUUGAAGAUAAUACUUAUUUAGUGCAGUACUUAGCAGCUUGUGAUGUUUCUGGUGCAAAGCUUUCCCUUGAAAAACUGUGUCUCUUGAAAAUUACCUCAUUCUUUAAAAGUUCACAGUAAUUUAAGUAUUAAUUUAUAUCUGUCUUUGAUCCAAAUUAUGACUACAUUUUUAUUUCAGCUUUUCUAGGCUGUUUUCAUUGUUCUUACCAUGAGAUGACUACUGAAGAUGUGCUCAUGCUGCUGCUGGUUUGUCUUUAAAUUUAAAAAAAAAAAAAAAAAAAAAAAAGAAAAGAAAAGAAAAAAUAAACUUUGAAUUUUCUUCUCAUUACAAAUCUAUGUCUGGAAAUGGAGGGGCAUUCUGCUUUUACAGUCCUUACAUCCUGUUACUCAACACUAAGUUAGUGACCAACUGCAGAGGUAACAGCUGUAAUUAUAUAUUGUCUUCAAUACAACUGAGCUUUGAACCAAGAUAUUUUGUAAGGUAAAAGAAAAAAGCUUUAUAACAAUGAAGCAGAUUGAACAUUACGUUUCCAAGCAUUUUGAGCCCUGCAUUAUUUCCUCCUUUUCAGUUUCUGCAGGUUUUUCACUGCACCAAAGCACGGGGAGAUAUUUUAUGCUCACUACUGCAAAUUCUCUGCCAGCAAAGACUUAAUUUUGAGUCACUCAGUGCAUUAUACUGCCACUGUUUUCCUUAAGUCUGGGUACUAAAAGGAAGUGCAGGCAUUCAUACCUCCCCUUAUAACCCUGACAAGUUUUCUGUAGUAGUAAAGGAACUGAAAUGAAAUAAUACUGAAAUAACACAAACAGAAAUAUGUUUCACCUCUAUGUAAUGCUUAUGAAAAAACACUGAGAUAAGAAAACUGACGCAGAUUAGCUGAGCAAGUAAAGUGUUUGCAGGGGCAGCUGCAGGGGAAAAAAAGAAAAAAUAUCUGAAAAAAACCUAUGAACAAUCACUUUUCGUUAACUCACUUCAAAACCCAAUUUCUCUACAGAGUUGUAGCAGUGUGCUUAUAAUAAAACUUGACUUCAUCUACAUCCUGUGAAGAACAGUCAGUAAUACAGUUUAAAGCAUCAAAGUCUCUGCAAUUUCACUGCCAGAUUCAAUACAGUCAUAUGCCUCCAUAGAAAGUCUAGCUAGGGUCGUACAGCUAAGUUUUUUGUUGGUUGGUUGGUUCUUGUUGUUUUCUUUUAAACUAGUACUGCCGUGAUCCCUUUUUAGGAGCUACUGUUUGUUAAUAUAUGACUGCCAAAUAUUUUAAACAUUAAUUUCUGUGAGCCUCAAAAAGACCACAUUUUGCUAACUGACUUUGAAACAGUGCAUGCUAUUUAUCCAAAACAUUCUUAUUGGCAUCUUUUAUACAAUAAAACUACUGUGUGCCAACAUAAUAAGCACCAGGACCUCCUACUGAAGAGAAAAUUGCUUCUCUCUUCUUUGUCACUACUGCAGAGUUAUACUGCUCUUCAACAUUUCCAACUUCAUCUGGUAUGUGUUACUGUCAAUGCAGUAAAGCUGCCUGAGAACUGUCCCUGACAAAAUCACAAUCAUUCAACAUCUCAGUGAUACUUCUGCACGGAUGACAGAAAAAUGCAGAAACCAAUAAUGACAAACUACUAUGUUGGAUAGAGAAUGCCCAUGAAUCAUAGACCACAGGCGCACAAUUGCAAACAUGCAGAGAUUUAUCUGAGACAGCAUGAUAUAUACUCGUGUCUCUUCAGAGUUCUCCAAAUUGUCCUGCUUGAGCAGGCAUAAACUAGACAGAUUUUAGGCAUACCCUUCUUCAGCUGUCUCUUAGAUCUAAAUCUGUAAAAAAAUGUCUCCACUCAAGUUCUUUACCACACCGGACAGGAUUUCCUUAAACCUUUGUUUAGUGGUGAAGAAUAAAGGGGUAAAUCUUUACUCAAAAUUACUUUAUUUUCAUUCACUUGGCUUGCAAGACAAAGGACAUGAUUAUUUUCUGAAAGUUUGGUCAGCAAAGGACUCAGAGCCAUGGGACACGCUAGCAGUCAUCCAUCUCACAAACUCUGUGUGCUGUCACCUUCUUUAUCACACCAACAGAAUGGGAAUGUCCCACAGCAGGGCUGCAGCCACGGCUUCCAAAUAAUGUUGUACAAGGAAAGCUGCUGUGGGACUGCAGUCAGUGUCCUGCGGUGCUCUUCAAUGGCUUUCUCAAUCUGCUCUAUUACAGUGUCAAAAAGGGGUUCAGUGUCAGCUGACAGAGGCUGGGACUCAGAAGGGUCUCGUGAGAGGUCAUACAGCAGUGGAGGGUCAUGAUGGGUCACACCUUCCCCAAAACAUGGGCAAAUUCCUUUUCCAUAACAAGCCCCAGCUCCAGCUGGAUGAAAGACUGGGGUUACAUAGUGAGCCUUCCAGACAGCUCCACCUGUCAGGAAAGAAAUGUUAUGGCACAACUACAAGAGAGAAAAAGAGGUGAAUUGUCUUCAGUGGUUGCUUACUAAGGAGACCUCUUGCCACACACCCAUCCCAUCACCACAGAUAAGAUUACCUGCACCGUGUACUGAGUUUGAAGAUAGAAAGCAGUAAAUCUAUGAAGACAAUAUUAGUCUUCAAGUGUAAUAGUAGGCAGCCAGCUUCUAUUUUCAUCCCAUUUUCUAUAACACAUCUCCUUUAUUACCUACAAGUAUUUUUAAACUGUAAGCCCACUCUAGCUAGCAAAAAUCACUGAUAUAUCAAGCAGAACAACUUCAAGAAUCUCAGAGAUCAAUACAGAUAAAUGUCAUCAUGCAAGAAAUCUGUCAUAAAGCAAGAAAUACGUCAAGAGAAGAAAUCUUAUAUACUGUAGUUAACAUGGAAUAUUUACACUUACUGUCCUUUUGGUGCCACCGCACUGCGUGCAAGUAGGAUCCACAAUAAUGAAAGAGAAACUUAUGCUCUGACUUUUGAGUUCUUCCUUGGAGUAAAGGCAUCAAGUUUCGUCCGUCGAUUACCCUAAU